AGCAUGUUAUAGAUUUUUGCCAUUUUGCAGAAAAUAUGCAAAAUAUGAAGAAAAUACUAUGUAUAUUAAGAGUUGAUCAAAUUAACAAAUAUGUGGCUUUGGUGGGCCUCUAUGAAUGUUGAUCCCACUGGCAUAUUAUUUUGUGUUUAAU